UACGGAGGGUGCAAGCGUUAUCCGGAAUUACUGGGUUUAAAGGGUGCGUAGGCGGCUUGAUAAGUCAGAGGUGAAAGCCUAUCGCUUAACGAUAGAAUUGCCUUUGAUACUGUAAAGCUUGAAAGGGGUUGAGGUCAGCAGAAUGUGGCAUGUAGCGGUGAAAUGCAUAGAUAUGCCAUAGAACACCGAUUGCGAAGGCAGCGGGCUGGGCCUACUUUGACGCUGAGGCACGACAGCGUGGGGAGCGAACAGG
rnacentral:rRNA from 1 species